rnacentral:rRNA from 1 species
UACGUAGGGUGCGAGCGUUAAUCGGAAUUACUGGGCGUAGAGUGUGCGCAGGCGGCCGCUCAAGUCGAGUGUGAAAUCCCCGAGCUUAACUUGGGAAUUGCGCUCGAAACUAAGUGGCUGGAGUGUGGCAGAGGAAGGUGGAAUUCCACGUGUAGCGGUGAAAUGCGUAGAUAUCGGGAGGAACACCUGAGGCGAAGGCGGGCUACUGGGCCGAUACUGACGCUGAUGCGCGAAAGCCAGGGGAGCGAACGGG